AGAUACCUGUUAUUUGAAAGUAAUGUUAAAGCUUUUUAUUGUAUUGCUUGCCAAGAAAUAAUGAGUAUGGUGUUUUGUGUAUUACAGGUUACUUACCCGAACAAUAACACGUGGUGAGAAGUCAAGCCCCAAGGAAUUGUUAAGAAGAAAUAUACCCAAAGGAUAACGUCUAUCAUGCUGCGGUUUGGCCAGCACCUCAUCAAGCCAUCUGUGGUCUUCCUGAAAACUGAGCUCUCUUAUGCUCUCGUGAACCGCAAGCCGGUGGUCCCAGGCCGUAUCCUUUUAACCAGUGCCUUGACCAUGGGUACCUGCACUCCUGGGAGAAGCAGGGAAGCUUGGUAUGCUCUUCAGGCCAGGUUUGUCCACAUCUUGAACAUUAGUCUUCAACACAGCCAUCAGAAUGUAAUAUGCAGCACACACAGGGUUAACAGCCUGGAGCUUCAGCUUCAGGGUCGAGAUCCUUCUCUGAGCCAAGAUAAUUGGAAUUUUUUGACACCUGGUACACACAGAAGAACACUCAAAGACAAAUUGCCAUGACAACCCCAGAGUCACCUCUCAGCUGACUUUAUGCUGCUUUUCUGUCCAGCUCUCUCACAGUAGCAUCACCACAGAAUAAACUGAGAAGUAAAAGAGUUUUCCUCA
rnacentral:lncRNA from 1 species